UUUCCGUAGGUGAACCUGCGGAAGGAUCAUUAUUGUAUAACCGAGGUGCGAGGGCUGUCGCUGACCCGACAGUUCGUGCACGCCCGAGUGCCCUCACACACAUCCAUCUCACCCCUAUGUGCACCACCGCGUGGGUCCCCCUUUGGCUUGUUCGGAGGGGGGCUUACGUUUUCACACAAACUUUGUAUGCAGUGUAGAAUGUAUUUUUUGUUUUUGCGAUCACGCAAUCAAUACAACUUUCAACAACGGAUCUCUUGGCUCUC
rnacentral:misc_RNA from 1 species